rnacentral:pre_miRNA from 1 species
UUGGAUGAAAUUCAUGUAGAACCUACACUUUGAAAAUGAAACUUAUAUAAAGUGGUGGGACAUAUAUUGAUUUCAUCCAA